CUGUGUGUUUUGGUUAUAUGUGCAUGGGUACCUGCAAGUGUACGUGCCUGAGUGUGUGUGCUUUACAGGAACUCCAAGAAUCAGUCCCCUUUUAGUUUGGGGAACUAUCACAUGUACAACUGGGGAGCUGGCGGUGGCCGUAAGGGCACAUCUUUCAUAAGGAGAAAGCUGCACUCCUGGACAAGAGACAGAAGCAGAGCUUCCUUUUUGCCCCAGGAUAAUGCCCUAAGGGAAUUAGAUUCAACAAAGUCACUUGUUUUGAGAAGCAAGGAGCGAGCAGAGAGAAUUUGAGGGAGGGAGAGGUGCCGCCAGGAAAGGUGGCCAAGAGCAGCAUUAAGGUCCCCGAGGGACGGGGCCACGAGAAUAAGAGAUGCCUGAGAGGAGUAGCAGGACAGAGAAAACAGAGUGUGACUAGCUCAGCAUCGUGCCAAAGGCCCUGCUGAGGUGCUGCCAGCAGGUGAAGAGUGUGACUAGCUCAGCCUCGUGCCCAAGGCCCUGCUGAGGUGCUGCUUGCAGCUUAUGGAAAAUUGGAAGCAGGAGAAGAGAAGGAGGAUUCAAAGAUGGACAGACCAACGACAGUCAGAAAGAACACUCCAGCCUAAUAGCCUAACCCUAAGAGAUCUCAGGAUGAGACUAAUGAGAAAGACCCAGGUCCUCACUGGCAUCUGAGGCCAUGACUGGGUCCCAGUAACCAAGAAAAGGUGGAGCCAUGCUCAGCUGGUUUCUCAGAAGUGGUGAGGCAUGGCAGAAACUUCAGCACUGCUCCUCCCCAAAAUAAAUAAGGACCAGUAAGAAGAAGGGACAUGAGGAGUGUGCACACACGGAGGAAAGGCCAUGUGAGGACACGGCGAGAGGGUGGCCGUCUGCGAGCCAGGAAGAAAGAUCGCACCAGAAGCCAACCCUACCAGCAUCUUGACCUUGGGCUUUCAGCCUCCAGAACUGUGACAAAAUAAAUGCAUGCUAUUUCAGUCACUCAGUCUGUGGUUGUUACCGUAGCACAAGUGGACUAACACAGCACUAUUUAAUUCCUAAAAUGUGUUAUAAGGAAGGUGCUGUUGUUAUAGUGAGAGAGGAGAUCUAAGGGCAGAGAUGGAUUAGGUAACAUCCCCAGCUGGUCUAGCUAGUGAGUGGCAGAGUUGGGACUGAACCAGGCAACCUGCUCCAGGACUUCGGCUCUUCACCUGUCCCUCGGUGGGCUCUCAACCCAGGUGGGGAGGUUCUGUGGGUGCUCUCCCCUUCACAGGAAAGAUAGCUCUUGCUCACGCAAUAGAGAGUUCUCAAAGUGCUUCAGCGCAGGACCUCCUGAGGACGUCUGUAUACCUCAGGCAUGCCCAUCUCACUGCUUCCAAAAGGAGCUGAACAAAGUAGGGACUGAAUGGACGAGUGCUUGGUGGGGGGUAGAUCUUGGAGUCUGCCCAAAGGAAGAAAUAGGAGCCAUAUUUUAUUUCUCUCCUUAUGCCUUAUAUAAUAUGUAUGCACUUACAAUGUACACCAUGGUGACUUUUGUAUAGACAUUUUCCACAUAAACCUUUUUUUUUUUUUGGCAAAAUGUAAUGUGUACUAAAGGAACGAUGAAUUUUCCAAAGUAAG
rnacentral:lncRNA from 10 species